rnacentral:rRNA from 1 species
UUCGCAAUGCCCGAAAGGGUGACGAAGCGACGCCGCGUGCGGGAAGAAGGCCUUCGGGUUGUAAACCGCUGUCGGGAGUUAAGAAGUGCAAGGGUGUUAAUAGCAUCUUUGCUUGACUAAGGCUCCGGAGGAAGCCACGGCUAACUCUGUGCCAGCAGCCGCGGUAAUACAGAGGCGGCAAGCGUUGUUCGGAAUUAUUGGGCGUAAAGAGCACGUAGGCGGCUAUGCAAGUCGGUUGUGAAAGCCUUCCGCUCAACGGAAGAACGGCAUCCGAUACUGCAUGGCUCGAGUGCGGGAGGGGAGAGUGGAACUUCUGGUGGAGCGGUGAAAUGCGUAGAUGUCAGAAGGAACGUCGGCGGCGAAAGCGACUCUCUGGCCUAUUACUGACACUGAGUGUGCGAAAGUUAGGGGAGCAAACGGGAUUAGAUACCCCGGUAGUCCUAACUGUAAACGAUGGGCACUAAGUAGAGGGGUUUU